CAAUUAUGAGAUUAGAGGGUCAGGACUUUCAGCCCCACCCAGGGGAGGAAGCUUCAGGGAAGGGAGAAGGAUGAAAGUUGAGUUUAUCAUCAGUUGCCAAUGAUAUAACCAAUCAUGCCUAUAUAAUGAAGCCUUCAUGAAAACCCAAGAGAGGAUUUGGCAGCUUCCAGAUAGCUGAACAUGCCCGCCUUGGCCUCCCAGAGUGCUAGGAUUACAGGUGUGAACCACCACGCCUGGCCCCAACGUGAAAGUAAUCUAGAAUGAAGUCUAAAUCAUCAUUGUCUCUGCUCUUUAAUGGUCCAGCCAUUGUGGUCAAGCAACCAAACAUGACACAAAAUGGAGGAAAAAGACAUCCUGUGUGGACACGGCAUGGUCUCAGCUCAAUGAGGAUUGAAGGAAUUACAGUAUGUCUUUGGCAUCACUAAGAUGUACAGUUUUGAAAGCAUCAGGGGAACAUGGCACAAACAAGGAGGGCACCAUGCUGAGAAGCAUCUAAGUCACAAUAAGAUGUCAACCUCAAGUCGCUAGAUGGCAGCUCUUAUUAAUGAGAACAAUAAGGGUGUCUAGAAAAGAGAAUAUGAGAAGACUCUUUGUAAAUUUACAUGAGACACCCCUAAGGAUGUCCAUAAAUAGCCUGAUAAGCCUUGGAGGACAGUUAAUCCUGCUUGUUUCAUAAAUGUCAUAAAAUGUGAAGAGAAGAUGAAGAAUUGGAGAAAAUCAGGAUUUUCAUGUGAGCAAGACUCAAUAGGGGCCAUUGGAGUGAGGGGAUAGGAAGGAAGCUACGGAGAGAAGCUCUAUUUGUCACUAUUUUAAAUCUUGAUCUUCCUAGAAAGAUUUUUCCUGAAGAAAGGGGUUAUGGGAACCAUAACAUGAUUCAAUUAUAAUGCUGUCCAGGACUAUGCUACAGUCAGAAGUGCUUG